UUUAUUUAAUUUUACAUUUUAUUAAUAAUAAUAAUCACAUGAUGGACCAACCCAUCUUACAAGAAAACAACACCUAAAAUUAUUCUCAUACCCGGCCCAACCCAAAAUAAAAAAUAACAUUUAGAAAGAGUAGGGUUUUCAAAAAAGAACAAAACAUUAAUUUCCUAAACCACAUUUCAGCUCCUCCGCCGUUGACAUUACUGUUUCAAUUCCUUCUGUUGCUGAGCCUUUGCAAAUCCUUCCUCGUUGAUCGAUCUUGCAAAUCCUUUCUGUUUCUUUUAGCUUACAGAGCUUAAUUCUCUAAUUUUUGCAACAAAUUGAAAGUUGUUUUACAACUAAGAGCACCCUGGUCUGCUGAAAUGCUGUAUAACAACUAAGUAUGCUAUUUUCUCAUUUUGUUCCUUCAACUUUUCUAGAUCUGAAUUGGCCCCAUUUUCUUUUGCUUGAAUUGCAAAGUUUUGAUAGAUUUGAAGAACUCUGAAGUGUUGAUGUCGCACGUAGUCAGCUAGUCGCCUCCAUCUCAGGUCUAAGCUAAAAGGGAAAGUGGAAAGUUUAGUCACUGGUCACAUCUCCGAUCUUCAGAUCUAUCCUCCGUCGUCGUCGACUAUCUCGUCUUGCCAGUCUUACCCCAACGCAAAAUCAGAGCUUACAUUUUGAUUACAGUGAACCAAUAUUUGAAUAUGCAAUCAUUCGACACCUUAAGCUCUCACCAGGUGCAGAUCUUCGUAUUCGUAGAUUUAUGUAUAAUACAGGUACUAUCUAAUCUCUAUAAGCCCCAAUUUCUAAUUAUUGAUCAUCCUAUUUCGUCCCUUACAUGCGUGUUGAGAUAUCUCCCUAUUCUGGUACAUAGUUGCCGAGAUAAUAUAGACAUUAUCCUUAUGGAUAAAAAUAUUAGACCUGUUUGGUACAACAAUAAAAUUUUUCAUAAAAUAUAAUGAUUGUUCUUGAAGUUCUUCGGUGAGCUUAGUAAAAAUGGAGGUUCCAAUUGAAGCCUGAAUGCGAUCACCCUGCAAACAAAUAAGAAUUCAUAUUUGACCGUAUUAUAAAGCAAAUAAGAUUAUUAAAAUUAGAAAUAUACAUAAAUUACACAUACCUUUUCGUCUUGCAAAAGCGUUUCUAUUGAUAACAGUUUAUCAGGAUUUUCAUGUUUUGAAAUAUUCCACAAUCGUACUACGCAAAAUUUUAAGUUUCAUUGCAUUUUUGUAUUUGAUAUCUCAUGAAUGAAGUUAAUUUUGGUAGAAAUUUUUUUACUCAGUAAGCAACUCUAUAUUUUUUGUUACUGAAACUAUCAGUUUAUCUAUAUUUAUAAUGAUGCUUUAGUUUUUGAAUUGCAUAGUUUAGAUAAAGAUGAAUAACAUAUUUAAAUUGUUAUCUGUAUGAAUUGUCACUAUCUUAUUUGAGAUAAUCCAUAAAUAUUAUUUAGAAAAUCACUAAAAAUUUAAAUUGCAGAAAGGUAUGACACGUUUAUUCUUUAAAUUUACACUUGGUUUAAAUUCAACUUGUUAAAUUGUUAUAAUAUCUUUUUAGUUGAGUUUUAUUUGGGUUAAAAAACUGUAAUUAGAGUUACUGGCUCACUGGAUCACGUUUAUUUUUUUUGGACUUACUAUAUUUACGUAUUUUAUUUAAAGUUAAUAUAUUGCUAAAAGUUGUUGCUUACUGACCCUUGCGUUUCUUUUUUCAGGUUCUAAAUUUGAAAUACAAUUUGAAUUUAAUGCUGUAGUUUGUUUUUGAAUAGCAAAGAAAAUUAUAAGCUAUUAUUUAGUGUUUAUCAUUAAUUUUUUUUAGUUGAGGAUACGUUUUUGGUUGAAAAAUAUCAGUAAAAGUUACUGAAAGUUACUGCUUACUUUAUAUUUAUUAGAGUUAAUAUAUUGCUGAAAUUUGUUGCUUACUGAUCCUUGUGUUUUUCUUUUUUAGGUUCUACAUUUGAAAUACAAUUUAGAUUUAAUGCUGUAGUUUAUUUUUGAAUUGGAGAGAUAAUGAUAAGUUGUCAUUUAGUGUUUAUCAUUAAAAAUUUUUUUAGUUGAGGAUUAUAUUAUUUUA